rnacentral:lncRNA from 1 species
GAUGAAUUAAUCCAGCAAUUAUGCGCUCAGUCCCUCCUGGCCAGCCAGGCGAAAGCGAAACUGAACCGGUUUAUCUCUUCUUCUGUUGUAACAUGUGAGGUGAGUCAUGCAGCUUGAAAUAGCCAUUACAACUUACAAACUCUUAAAUUAAUGUGCAUCUGAGGAGACACACGAUGUGCUUUAUAAUACCAUUCUUGAUAUGAAUCUCGCCAUCAACUCCUUACCUAGCACCUCCAUGUAUUAUUUCUGAUGCUAACUUAAUUUUCAUAGUCUUUUUCAGGUUGAAGGACUUGCUCAUCGUAUAUUCAAAGUUAAAUUGGAUACAUGCAUUCAUAGUUCCUGAUGGAAUAAAUUUU